GGGGAAUUUUCCGUCCGCAAUGGGCGCAAGCCUGACGGAGCAAGACCGCGUGAGGGAGGAAGGCUCUUGGGUUGUAAACCUCUUUUCUUUGGGAAGAAGCAAGUGACGGUACCAAAGGAAUCAGCAUCGGCUAACUCCGUGCCAGCAGCCGCGGUAAGACGGAGGAUGCAAGCGUUAUCCGGAAUUAUUGGGCGUAAAGCGUCCGUAGGCGGUUAGAUAAGUCAGUUGUUAAAGACUGCAGCUCAACUGUGGGGGAGCAACUGAAACUGUUUGACUAGAGUAUGGUAGGGGUAGAGGGAAUUCCUAGUGUAGCGGUGAAAUGCGUAGAUAUUAGGAAGAACACCAGUGGCGAAGGCGCUCUACUGGGCCAAGACUGACGCUGAUGGACGAAAGCUAGGGGAGCGAAAGGGAUUAGAUACCCCAGUAGUC
rnacentral:rRNA from 1 species